GACGAACGCUGGCGGCGUGCUUAACACAUGCAAGUCGAACGGAAAGGCCCUGCUUUUGUGGGGUGCUCGAGUGGCGAACGGGUGAGUAACACGUGAGUAACCUGCCCUUGACUUUGGGAUAACUUCAGGAAACUGGGGCUCAUACCGGAUAGGAGCUCCUGCUGCAUGGUGGGGGUUGGAAAGUUUCGGCGGUUGGGGAUGGACUCGCGGCUUAUCAGCUUGUUGGUGGGGUUGUGGCUUACCAAGCCUUUGACGGCUAGCCGGCCUGAGAGGGUGACCGGCCACAUUUGGACUGAGAUACGGCCCAGGCUCCUACGGGAGGAAGCAGGGAGGAAUAUUGCAGAAUGGGCGGAAGACUGAUGCAGCAACGCCGCGUGCGGGAUGACGGCCUUCGGGUUGUAAACCGCUUUCGCCUGUGACGAAGCGUGAGUGACGGUAAAGGGUAAAGAAGCAGCGGCUAACUACG
rnacentral:rRNA from 1 species